UGUUGCGGUAAAAAUCGAGUUGAAUGAAUCGCCACAGCCCCAACGUAUAUCGCGCAGUAUUGACCAAGACCAAGUCAAGCAGGAAUUCUGGCAUGGUAUGUGGCUGCACGGAGGAUUCCGAAAAAGAAAAACAACAACAUGGCUAAUAGGAUGUUGCUGCCCAGGGAGUCCUGGCGAAGAGGUUUACUCAUUCCAGAAGCAAGAAUUGUAUCAUUGUAAGGCGAAUGGAAAUAAACUGACAUCGACUGAGAUAGGUGUUCUGUCAUGGCCAGUGACUGUAGGAUGGCUCCAAAAGCGUCACAACAAAGCCAAUAUUCAUCUAGCUCUCUACAAGUAGCUAACU